GAUGAACGCUGGCGGCGUGCCUAAUACAUGCAAGUCGAACGCUGGCACUCUAGCUUGCUAGUCUGAAGGAGUGCCGAUCGGGUGCGUAUUAGAUAUGCAACCUACUCACGUAGUCCGGGAUAAUCUCUGGAAACGGGGACUAAUUACGGACAGGUAAUCGGAACGCAUCUACUGAUUAUUAAUGGUUAAAAACCCUGGUUGAUGGGGUUAUGGCGCAUUAGUUAGUUGGUAAGGUCACGGCCCACCAAGACGAUGAAGCGGAGCCGGGCUGAAAGGGAGAACGGCCAGAUUGGGACUGAGACACGGCCCAGACUGCUACGGGAGGCAGCGGUAGAUAAGAUACGGCGAUGAGGGAAACCCUGACCGAGCAGCGCCGCGUGAGAGGGGACGGGCGUCGUGUAGUAAAUUUCUGUUGUAAGAGAAGAACGGUAGAUAGAGAAUAUCUAUAUGACGGUACCUUACCAGAAAGCCACGGCUAACUACGUG
rnacentral:rRNA from 1 species